rnacentral:rRNA from 1 species
ACUUACCCGGGCUUGAACUGCAGGGAAGGUCGCCUGUGCCGUCCUCGGACUCCUGUGGAGGUGCUGCAUGGUGUCGUCAGCUCGUGCCGUGAGGUGUCGGCUUAAGUGCCCAUAACGAGCGCAACCCUUUUCAUUAGUUGCCAUCAGGUGAUGCUGGGCACAAAGAGAGAUACUGCCACCGUAAGGUGUGAGGAAGGUGGGGAUGACGUCAAAUCAGCACGGCCCUUACGUCCGGGGCUACACACGUGUUACAAUGGGGCAUACAGAAGGCCGGUCCAACGCAAGUUGGAUCCAAUCUAUAAAGUGUCCCCCAGUUCGGAUUGGGGUCUGCAACCCGACCCCAUGAAGCUGGAUUCGCUAGUAAUCGCGCAUCAGCCAUGGCGCGGUGAAUACGUUCCCGGGCCUUGUACACACCGCCCUAAU